GGCGGCGUACAACCAAGAGGUUAAGGUCUCGGGCGCGACCAUACGUCCGACGCGGUUCUUUUACCGCUUCGCAGGUUCGACUCCUGUCGCCGCCUCCA
rnacentral:tRNA from 1 species